GGCGCUGUGGCUUAGUUGGUUAAAGCACCUGUCUAGUAAACUGGAGAUCGAGAGAGUUCGAAUCUCUCCAGUGCCU